rfam:Zootermopsis nevadensis contig24071, whole genome shotgun sequence.
GCCACGGUGGUCUAGCGGUUAGAACGCUGGCCUUGUAAUCCUAGGGUCUCGGGUUCGAUUCCCGGCGGUGCCC